CUCCUACCAAAAUCAAUCCUCCCUUCCCAAAAAUUCAUUUCCCUCCUAACCAAAAUAAAUCUAAAUUUUCAUUUCCCUCCAACAAGAUUCACUUCCCCCAGUCAAUUCAGAUGAAAGACCUUAGCCUCCCUUUACAUACUCAGCCUUUAAACCGCAACCCUAAUCCCUUACAAUCGAGUAUGACGAUGGUGGUUAUGACAGUGGUUCUGGUUGCAAUGUUACAUCGACUGAUGUUUAGGUCGAAGGUGAUGGUGUCGUGAAGGUGGGUUUGCGGGAGAGGUGGUUGUUGACGGUGGGUAGGAGCUGCGGGAAAGAUGGAGGAAGCACCUAAGAUUUGAGGAGGCGAUUACGAUCCCAGGCGUUCCGUGUGACGAUGUGAAGGUUUUCGUCAGCUUCCUCUAUUCCAUUCGUAGAUUGGCUUGCUGUAAGCUUCAAGAAAGAUGAAGGCAUAGAUCUACUUAAGGGCAAGCAAGCGUCACAAGGCUUGACUGAGACAACUAAAAAGACUAAAAUGGAGCUUUCAACUUUGACACAAGCAAAUAUUAGAUUGAUGGAAGUGUUCCAAAGACACGAGUUACUACAAAUUGUGGUGUAUUGAAGCCAAAAGUUGCUGCAGCUGAAUAUAUAUCUCAAUUAAAUGAGGAAGCACACUCUUCAUUUGUAAAGAAGUACAAAACUAUAAUGUGAUGGCAGUUGUAACAUCAAAUAUUUGAGGUUCAUAUUCUUUUUGGUUAAUCAGUAUCUUGAGCUCAGAUUUUUAAUUAUGUGGCAGUUGUAACAUUAAAUAACAGUUUUUUUUGACAAGUGCCUACAGGACAUGCUGACAAUACAGAAAUUGCUCUUACAAUGUACAACUGAACCUUAUGUAUUGUCUGGAGGUUAGAAGAUUUUAAUUUAUACGGAUAAUGUACAUAGGCUACUUAAGUAGGUAAAAGGCUUCAUUAAGGCCAGAAAAGUAUUAAAACAUUUCAAGAGCCACAUAUUGAUUUGUUUUCUUCAUACUGAAUUCCAACAAAAAACUUGGUGGAGAAUUGCAAAAUGUGUUCAAAUUUAUAGCUUGUGUCGCAUAUAGAGUUGUAAAAAUAACAAUAUUCACCGUGAAAGAACCAACUUUUGAUAGAUGAAAGGGCAUUAUUAGCAUGUUACAACUUUUAAAGUGACAAGCUUUUAAAUUUAGGGACGUUCUUGUUAUUUACAGUUUUUUGGCAAUUCAUUUGCCUCGCCAUAAAGGAUACCUCAAAAGUGGUAUUUAGUGUAACUUUUUUUUUACUUAUACUUCAUUUUUAUCGAGUUCUUUGACUUAUACUUCAUUUUCAUGAUACUUGCCACCAUUGGCCCAACUAGUUUAUUAUGGGUACUUUUGAUUUUGGGUCUGAAUUGACAAACAUUUGUUUAUCUUGCAGGUUGAUUCAAAAUUUGAUUUGAGUAUUAGUAAGAUGAUGUGGAAGACAAGUGUUCCAACUAUGGAUGUGUGAAGCAUAUAUAUGUUGACAAGUAUGUGUUCUAGUUCUUUAUCUUAGUCUACUAGGAUGAACAUAUGUUUGGUGUGGAAAUUACCAUAACAUGGGGUUUACAAGUAGCAUGAAUAAAACACUUGGAGAAUCAUACAACAUCAGAACUGUCCACCAGCUACAAAUUUUCUCCUCACCACAAGAGCAGUAAUGUGGCCACGAACCCAUGGAUGCAAAUUUGCAGCACUCUUAAGUCUAAAACAGUGAGUAUAUGGACUUGAAGAAAACAGUCUUGAAAUAGUUAUUAGUUUAUGUGUAAAGUUGUUUUCCUUUGUAACUUUUGUAGAUAUGUUUUGAUUAGAAGUUAAUGUUUAUAAUUAGUAUUACUAUUUAAAUUAAAUACUUAUGUAUGGAUUUUGGGUUGUUAUUGUUAGUAGCAUUUGGUUUUUAGUUUUCU